AUCCUUUUGUAGUUCGUAAGUGUGAGGAUCGGGUAUUCACGUUGUGUGACAUACGCCUCCCUCAACCCUGUUAGGACCUCGGCACUUUACCUGUCUGAUG